rnacentral:tRNA from 1 species
GGUGAUGUAGCUCAGACGGUUAGAGCGGUGGAUUCAUAACCCACAGGUCGGUGGUUCAAUUCCACCCAUCACCACCA